rnacentral:tRNA from 1 species
AUUUCUUUAGUAUAAUUAUUACAAGUGACUUCCAAUCAUUUAAUUUUGGUUAAACCCCAGAAAGAAAUA